AGAUACUUAGAAGCACACUGAGAGGCGAAUAUCUCACAUUUUUCAUCCAAAAAGAAUAGAGUUCACUGGAAUUUUAAAAGAAAAAUAACAGAACUUAUGUUUUAUCUUAUUUUUCUAACUAAUUUUAGUGUGUGGGAAAACACUGGCAAAAUAUCAUACUUACAGCAUCUUGAAAACCAAAGAGUACCACCUGGACUUGGCUAAUGCCAUGGCUGUCGAAGUCCAGCUCCAGUUUCAGCUUUGACAGUGUGGUGGCUAUGAUUUUUCGGUCAGUGGAUCUCACAAAUUCUCUGAGGCUUGCAAUGAGGGUUGUGAUGUGUUCCCAUUUUAGUUUCGGUUCUUCAGCCCCCUGUGAAUAAAAAUCAACAAUCCUUACAUCAACAUAUGCUGGAUAUACCUGCCAUGGUAAUCCUAUCUCCAUACCCCCU
rnacentral:lncRNA from 1 species